AGAGUUUGAUCCUGGCUCAGGAUGAACGCUGGCGGUAUGCUUAACACAUGCAAGUCGAACGGAAUCCUUAGGGAUUUAGUGGCGGACGGGUGAGUAACGCGUGAGAAUCUGCCUUCAGGUUCGGGACAACCACUGGAAACGGUGGCUAAUACCGAAUGUGCAGCAAUGUGAAAAAUUUAUUGCCUGAAGAUGAGCUCGCGUCUGAUUAGCUAGUAGGUGUGGUAAGAGCGCACCUAGGCGACGAUCAGUAGCUGGUCUGAGAGGAUGAUCAGCCACACUGGGACUGAGACACGGCCCAGACUCCUACGGGAGGCAGCAGUGGGGAAUUUUCCGCAAUGGGCGAAAGCCUGACGGAGCAAUACCGCGUGAGGGAGGAAGGCUCUUGGGUUGUAAACCUCUUUUCUCAAGGAAGAAAAAAAUGACGGUACUUGAGGAAUAAGCAUCGGCUAACUCCGUGCCAGCAGCCGCGGUAAUACGGAGGAUGCAAGCGUUAUCCGGAAUGAUUGGGCGUAAAGNGUCCGCAGGUGGCUAUGUAAGUCUGCUGUUAAAGAGUCUGGCUCAACCAGAUAAAGGCAGUGGAAACUACAUGGCUAGAGUGCGUUCGGGGCAGAGGGAAUUCCUGGUGUAGCGGUGAAAUGCGUAGAGAUCAGGAAGAACACCGGUGGCGAAANNNCUCUGCUAGGCCGCAACCGACACUGAGGGACGAAAGCUAGGGGAGCGAAUGGGAUUAGAUACCCCGGUAGUCC
rnacentral:rRNA from 1 species